GAGCGUUGUCCGGAUUUAUUGGGCGUAAAGAGCUCGUAGGCGGUUUGUCGCGUCGGCUGUGAAAACCCACGGCUCAACUGUGGGCUUGCAGUCGAUACGGGCAGGCUAGAGUUCGGUAGGGGAGACUGGAAUUCCUGGUGUAGCGGUGAAAUGCGCAGAUAUCAGGAGGAACACCGGUGGCGAAGGCGGGUCUCUGGGCCGAUACUGACGCUGAGGAGCGAAAGCGUGGGGAGCGAACAGG
rnacentral:rRNA from 1 species